CUUCGUCAUCGUCGGAAGGUCGCGAGGAGGCGAGGCCUGGAGGAAGCGCUCGAGCGGCGGCCGUCCGGGCUCCGCCCUCCACCCUAUUUUUUGGGGGCAGAAGGAGGGCUUCCAUGGUGCAGGUCUGAGAUCCCCCUUCUCUCUCUGCCUCUGGCUGAACAUUGACGUUUUCUUCCUUUUUUCCCCCAGUUGCAUCCAGAUGUUGGCUGAUUCGUUGCUGCUAGUGAGAGAGAUGGGAAGUGGAAGAACAAAAAGAUUCGUGAAAGCGUCCGCCGGUCCUGCUGGUGGCGUAGAAGAGAAAGGGACGGGCCGUUGCCACCACGGAGACGGACGUGCAGAGGUUGAUGUGCAGCCAUGCCACCUCGUCGGCACAUUCAUCCUCACUAGCCCAGGCCAAAUAAGGUGCUCAUGGCUUCUCCUAAUCCUCUUCCCCCUUAUGCUAACAUUUUUCUCUCCCCGUACAAUCCUUAGUGUUUGAGUCAGCCUCCAUGCCUGCCGCCGUUCAUUCUUUGCCCCUCCACCAGGACCCAUCUUUGUCACGUAUGGGGUUUAACCCCUCUCAUCUUUGUAUGUGCAGCUGCUAUUUAUUUUGUGCCUGCAAGGUGUUUGAUGAAAAGCUAGUGGAACGAUUAAUCCAUGUAAUAUUCAUUCUACUCUGCUAUUUAUUUUAUGCCUGCCAGGUGUUUGAUGAAAAGCUAGUGGAACAAUUAAUCCAUGUAAUAUUCAUUCUACUGAAUAGAUUUUCUUUUCCUGAAAUUUAGCAACAAUGGCUUGCAUGGUCCGCUAUAUCACAUCUCCCUUCUAUGACUUGCCUGUAAUAUAUUGCCUCUCAGUUUUGUCAAUUGGUUGUGCAGGUUAUUAUUGCUAAAUAGAUGAGUGACUCAUUGGAAAAUAUAUUCGUGUUGUAUUAUUUGAAACUCAAGCAUCAGAUAAUAAUUCUUAGAUUUAGAUAUCUUGCUACAGUCAAUUUUGUACAGAUUCAACCUUUGUAUACAAAUAGCUGAGGUACAGACUCUAACGUUCUCUCAUUAGUUCAUAUAUGACGCUAGGGGUUAAUUUUGGCUAUGAAUUUUUUGUGCUUUUGAUGUGUGCAGAUUGCAGUCUUGACAAGCUAGCCGGCUAUGCGAACAAAGCCAAAGCAAAACAAAAACUAAGGAAACCUUGUGAUUUCAGGUUUUAGCUAGAAGUAUGGUGUGCUAACAAUGCUUGUUGUGCACAGUCCUUAUGCAAACAGAUAUGCAUAGAUCCGAGAUUCAGGGGAUCUAGGUUCUCACUGGUCGAUAGGGGUUUUAUAUAUGUGAUCAUAUCCGUGGAGAUGGUGAAAUGGGUUGGCAGUGUUAUGAAGCUGGGAAGCUGUUGAAGAAGACCAACACUUUCACUGACUUAGUUGCUUGUGCUGAGCAGUAAAGAAACGUUUUGUAUCAGCGGGAGAAGUGCAGGUGGCAUGUUGAUGGGUGUUGUUCUAAAUAUGAGGCCUGACUUAUUCAAGGCAAUUGUUGCUGAGGUGGCUUUAGUUGAUGUUCUCGCAACUAUGCUUGAUCCAGCUAUCCUGUUGACUGCAGCUGAAUGGGAGAGUGAGCAACUCUUGUGGAGUGAGAGGAAAUGACAAGCCGUUUGUGCAAAAUAGGAGUUAAUCGAAGAGCUGGAGUCUAGAGGGGAUAAAAGUUCAGAUUUUGCGACAGUAUUUCAGAGAAGCUGGUGUCGGUUAUCUUAGAUAGUCCCAACAAGGUUUCUCUAAAAGGAUAUUCACAAGAAGAGUGGACCAUAGAUGAGAGUGAUGAACCAUAGAUGGUGGAAAUACUUAAACAUAGAUGGAGAUAAUGCUGAACUAAAAGCGCCUAUGGGUUUGUUGGACAAUCGUCAUCGGCCAUCGUGGAGGGCUGGAGGAGGGAGGUGGAGCAGGAACGUUGGUCACACUCCAUCCUACACACCGAGCCCCCCUCCUGGUUGUUUCCUCAAGCACUCUUGUUUCAUACUUAUUUUGAUUGCUAGCGCCUACGGGUUUGUUGGAAAAUCAUCAUCGGCCAUGGCGGAGGGCUGGAGGAGGGAGGUGGAGCAGGAACGUCGGUCGCACUCCAUCCUACACGCCGAGGCCCCCUCCUGGUUGCAUCCUCAAGUGCUCUGGUUUCUUAGAGUCAAGCACUGUGAUUUUUAAUUGCUAAUUGAUUGUUUUCCUGAACACAUGUGGGCAGGUAUCGGAAAAAGAGGCCAGGUCAUGCCAGGAAACAGCGAGCAGGGCGUUCAAUGAAGUUGUCGGGACAUGCUACCGGAGUGGUGUUCUUGACCUCAUGUGCAGCUUGGGAAAAGAUGUCCGCUUUGUUGUACUGCAAGCUGCUGAUGGCAGGGAUCAUUGAGAAGGUUUAGAGUAUCCUUGAUGCUCUAUUCGGGUAGGGGAAGACCAAAAAGGUAAUCUGUUCUCCCUCAUGAUUCUGUGGAUUUACUGGUUUACUGAACUGAAGCUUGCUUUCCAUAUACUUUUGUACUCAUCUCCGUUUCAAGAGUAUGCCUGAUGUGUCGAGCUCUAAAAUUGCACUGUUGCCUACCAAUGGAAGAUUGUGUGUGCUCGAAACUUGCUCCGUGCAAUUUGUAGGGCUGCAUAAAAUCUGUCUUAAGAUUUCUGCUGUACUCGCAGCCAGGCCCGUUGCCAGCACUCAGCAAGGGUGUAUUGUAGGUUCGUACUCAAGGUUUGGGUGACUCGAUUCUGCAGUAUGUAGUUGUAAAAGUGGUCCGGCUCUUUCGUGUUUAUCAAAUUGACAGGUUUUAAGGCACAUAUGACUAAGAAAAUCCACCUAGGU